rnacentral:rRNA from 1 species
AUACGGAAGGUCCGGGCGUUAUCCGGAUUUAUUGGGUUUAAAGGGAGCGUAGGCCGUGUAUUAAGUGUGUUGUGAAAUGUAGAUGCUCAACAUCUGAACUGCAGCGCAUACUGGUGCACUUGAGUACGCACAACGUAGGCGGAAUUCGUCGUGUAGCGGUGAAAUGCUUAGAUAUGACGAAGAACUCCGAUUGCGAAGGCAGCCUGCGAGAGCGCAACUGACGCUGAUGCUCGAAGGUGCGGGUAUCGAACAGGAUUAGAUACCCUGGUAGUCCGCACGGUAAACGAUGGAUGCCCGCUGUCCGGUCCCUGUGAGCGCGCGGCCAAGCGAAAGCGUUAAGCAACCCCCCUGGGGAGUACGGCGGCAACGGUGAAACUCAAAUGAAUUGACGGGG